AUGCCACGUGCUGAUGGUCCCUUUAAGGUGUUAGAGAAAAUAAAUGAUAAUGCAUAUAAACUUGAGCUGCCUGUAGAUUUUGGGGUUAGUCCCACUUUUAACAUUGCAGAUUUGAAGCCUUAUUUGGGUGAGGAAGAUGAGCUUUCAUUGAGGACGACUUCAUUGCAAGAAGGGGAGGAUGAUGAGGACAUCAAUACCAUUGUUACACCCACAGCCCCUGCUGUUAUACAUACUGGACCAAUUACUAGAGCUCGCGCAUGCCAAUUGAAUUGUCAGGUACUUUCAUUUCUUGGUAACGAUUCUAAUGUUCAUGAGAACAUGAUGCUGCCUAAAUUGGAUACAUUUGUUUUGCUCACAAAUGAAGGGCCUAGCUUGGGAAAGAAAGAUGAACCUUGGAGCAAGUUCAAGCAUGGAGAUGAUGGCAUGUGCAAGGGGAACAAGAACGGAGUUACAAGUGAUGAUUUCAGGACUUUGAAGCCACCAUAA
rnacentral:rRNA from 1 species